rnacentral:rRNA from 1 species
UACGAAGGGGGCUAGCGUUGUUCGGAUUUACUGGGCGUAAAGGGCGCGUAGGCGGUGCAAUAAGUCAGGCGUGAAAGCCCCGGGCUCAACCCGGGAAUUGCGCUUGAUACUGUUGCGCUUGAAUCCAGGAGAGGAUGGCGGAAUUCCCAGUGUAGAGGUGAAAUCCGUAGAUAUUGGGAAGAACACCAGUGGCGAAGGCGGCCAUCUGGCCUGGAAUUGACGCUGAGGCGCGAAAGCGUGGGGAGCAAACAGG